GACUCCCUUGAGGGGGGCGAAGCAGGAGCCUGGGUCGAGCUGGUGCGCGAGUCCCGCCUCACCUCAGGAGCUGUUCGCUGCCCCGCCUGUUUGUAGCUGUAGGCGCCCCGUGUAGGCUGUAGCUGUGUUGUCUGUCCUGACCCACACGCCCACGCCCUAGCGGCGGCACAAGCCAGUGAACAGAAAGGAAUCAGCCGCCCAUACAACCCUCACUUCCCCAUCCCAGCCACAUCACACCCACUCACUCCUCACCCCUCCUUCCUCACCUCCCCUCUCCUCACUCCUUCCAAAUAAAGCACCCACUCCACGGCCUCAUAGCGUCACGCCCACUCCUCACUCCACUUGCUUCAGUACUUCUUCCACGUCCUCACUCCCGGAUAAGAUGCAGCCACUCACUCCACACUCCUCAGCACUGACCACUCCACCACUCCACGCCCUCACUCCUCGGCGUGUCAAGGAGCCCAGCGCUCGACCACUCACACUCAUACACGCGUUGCCUCACUCCCCGGCCCUGAACGCAGCCACUCCACACACUCCACUCCUCAUACUCCACUCCGCCACUCCACAUGUCACUCCCCACGUGGCCAGACUAGGCACAGGAGCUCUUAGUGAGGACACAGACAUGUUGAGGUUAAGGGAACGAUAAAUUAAAAAAAAGAUAAUAAAAAGCAUUGUAAACUUUCAUCUGCUUUACUUUCCACGCUGUUAAAGUUUACACGAGAUCAAAUAAUGCAUUCAGCAGCUUAUUUAAAUACCAGUUAUUGCUAUAAAACUUAAUAUAAAAAAGAUCUUCGCUGUACGAGUUGGCUUUAUUUUCUCUCUUUUUUUUUUCUUCUAUAAUAUGCCUUCCCAUUUUUUGUCCUUGGCCAGUGGCACGCUUAUAUGAUGAGUGCUGUGUGAGUGGCGGAAGGAAGGAAGGAAGGAAGGAAGGAAGGGAGUGGUGAUGGUGGUGGUGGUGGUGGUGGUGAGGGUCAAACCAGCAUAUCCCUCACUGGCACUCCCUUGGCACUGAUCCUUUGUGUUCAUUGGCAUUGUCCCUCAGAGUCACUCCACCAAUAGGCAAUCAGAUACUAAGGCCUGGCAUCAGUCCGUCCGUGAUCCCUGCGUCCGUGUCCUUGUCCGUGGCGGUCUGAAACACGCUUGAUCACGUUUUCUUGGAAUUGUCUCAGCUGGGUGAUUGUAAAAGGGGAAGAAAUGGAGGGAGAGAAUUAUAUAUGUGAAGAAGAACAGUGAGGUAAAUUAGGGAAUAGUAAUGAUGGAAGGAAUUGUACAGUGGGGGAAAAAGGUAAAGGGAGGAAGAAUAGGGAAGCAAAGAAGAGAAUGGCAGUGAUAUAAGAACUUGUACAGUGGGGAAAAUAGGGAAAAAGAAGGAAGAAUAGGGAAGUAGAGAAGGGAAUGGCAAUGAUGGAAGGAAUUGUACAGUGGGGGAAAAGGGAAAAGGAAGGAAGAAUAGGGAAGCAAAGAAGAGAAUGGCAAUGAUAUAAGAACUUGUACAGUGGGGAAAAUAGGGAAAAGGAAGGAAGAAUAGGGAAGUAGAGAAGGGAAUGGGAAUGAUAUAAGAACUUGUACAGUGGGGAAAAUAGGUAAAAGGGGGGAAGAAUAGGGAAGUAAGGAAGGGAAUGGGAAUGAUAUAAGAACUUGUACAGUGGGGAAAAUAGGGAAAAGGGGGGAAGAAUAGGGAAGUAGAGAAGGGAAUGGCAAUGAUAUAAGAACUUGUACAGUGGGGAAAAUAGGGGAAAAAAAAGGAAGAAUAGGGAAGUAAAGAAGGGAAUGGGAAUGAUAUAAGAACUUGUACAGUGGGGAAAAAAGGGAAAAAGAAGGAAGAAUAGGGAAGCAAAGAAGAGAAUGUCAAUGAUGUAAGGAAUUGUACAGUGGGGAAAAUAGGGAAAAGGGGGGAAGAAUAGGGAAGCAAAGAAGAGAAUGGCAAUGAUAUAAGAACUUGUACAGUGGGGAAAAUAGGGAAAAGGAAGGAAGAAUAGGGAAGUAAGGAAGGGAAUGGGAAUGAUGGAAGGAAUUGUACAGUGGGGAAAAAGGGAAAAGGAAGGAAGAAUAGGGAAGCAAAGAAGAUAAUGGCAGUGAUAUAAGAACUUGUACAGUGGGGAAAAAGGGAAAGGGAAGGAAGAAUAGGGAAGAUAAUGGGAAUGAUUGAAAAAGAGGUACAAUUAGAAAAAGGAGAGGAAAGAGAGAAUGAAAAGUAAAGGAAAGAAUAGGAAUUAAAAAACAAAGGAAGCAAUUAAGAUUGAAAAAAAAAUGCUGGUACUUCUUAUAUAAUGAAUAACAUGGCGGGGUAAAUUAAUAGGUUAACUAAUAGAGUGGAAAAAAAAAACAGGCAAAAUUGACAGUCAUGUAGUGAGAGCUAAUGAGGUAGAGAGGAGAGGAGAGGAGGUAGGUAGGUAGGAAGGAGGGAAAGGAGAGAGGAAGAGGUAAGGUAAGGUAAGGCAAAGCAGGAAGGGAAGGAGAGGUAAGAUAAGGUAAGGUAAGGAAGGGAAGUAGAGGAAUAACAGAAAAAAGUAAGGUAAAAAGGAAGGGAAGGAGAGGUUAGGUAAGGUAAGGAAAUAGAGGGAUAACAGAAAAGUGAGGUAAGAAGGAAGGGAAGGAGAGGUUAGCUAAGGUAAGGUAAGGAAGGGAAGUAGAGGAAUAACAGAAAAGUAAGGUAAAAAGGAAGGGAAGGAGAGGUUAGCUAAGGUAAGGUAAGGAAGGGAAAUAGAGAAAUAACAGAAAAGUAAGGUAAAAAGGAAGGGAAGGAGAGGUUAGUUAAGGUAAGGUAAGGAAGGGAAGUAGAGAAAUAACAGAAAAGUAAGGUAAAAAGGAAGGGAAGGAGAGGUUAGCUAAGGUAAGGUAAGGAAGGGAAGUAGAGCAAUAACAGAAAACAGUAAGAUAAGAAGGAAGGGAAAAUGAAUCAGGUAAACAACAGGUAGGUUAGACAAAUUCACGCAGACUCACAUUUCACCCGAUUUAGAGGAAUAACAGAAAAAACUAAGAUAAGAAGGAAGGGAAAAAGGUCAGGUAAACAACAGGUGGGUUAGACAAAUUCAAUCAGACUCACCUUUGAUCCGAUUUAGAGGAAUAACAGAAAAAACUAAAGUAAGAAGGAAGGGAAAAAGGUCAGGUAAACAAAAGGUAGGUUAGACAAAUUCACCCAGACUCACCUUUGAUCCGAUUUAGAGGAAUAACAGAAAAAACUAAGAUGAGAAGGAAGGGAAAAAGGUCAGGUAAACAACAGGUGGGUUAGACAAAUUCACGCAGACUCACCUUACACCCGAUUUAGAGGAAUAACAGAAAAAACUAAAGUAAGAAGGAAGGGAAAAGGGUAAGGUAAACAAAAGGUGGGUUAGACAAAUUCACGCAAAGUCACAUUUCAUUCGAUUUUCCACGGACGCAAAUCACGGACAGGUUAAUGAUGCCCGAUCUACCCCUUACCUGUGCACCUAUACCUGGCUCACCUGACUAAUCACUCGGCC